rfam:Gallibacterium anatis TMN179, complete genome.
AGUUAAGUGACUAAGCGUACACGGUGGAUGCCUUGGCAAUCAGAGGCGAAGAAGGACGUGCUAAUCUGCGAAAAGCGUGGGGGAGCUGAUAAGGAGCGCAAAUCCCACGAUAUCCGAAUGGGGAAACCCGAUAGAUGAAGAAUCUAUCAUUGUUGUCUGAAUUCAUAGGGCAACAAGGCAAACCGGGAGAACUGAAACAUCUAAGUACCCCGAGGAAAAGAAAUCAACCGAGAUUCUGCGAGUAGCGGCGAGCGAAAGCGGAGGAGCCAGCGAGUGAUAGCAUAAGUUUUAGGAGAAUUGUCUGGGAAGGCAAGCGAGAGAGGGUGACAGCCCCGUAUCCGAAAAGACGGAUGUGGUACUAAGCUAGCAAGAAGUAGGGCGGGACACGAGGAAUCCUGUUUGAAGAAGGGGGGACCAUCCUCCAAGGCUAAAUACUCCUGAUUGACCGAUAGUGAACCAGUACCGUGAGGGAAAGGCGAAAAGAACCCCGGGAGGGGAGUGAAAGAGAACCUGAAACCGUGUACGUACAAGCAGUGGGAGCCUGUAAGGGUGACUGCGUACCUUUUGUAUAAUGGGUCAGCGACUUAUAUUUUGUAGCGAGGUUAACCGGAUAGGGGAGCCGAAGGGAAACCGAGUCUUAACUGGGCGGUUAGUUGCAAGAUAUAGACCCGAAACCCGGUGAUCUAGCCAUGGGCAGGAAGAAGGUUGGGUAACACUAACUGGAGGGCCGAACCGACUACUGUUGAAAAAGUAGCGGAUGACCUGUGGCUGGGGGUGAAAGGCCAAUCAAACCGGGAGAUAGCUGGUUCUCCCCGAAAUCUAUUUAGGUAGAGCCUUAUAUGAAUACCUUCGGGGGUAGAGCACUGUUUCGGCUAGGGGUCCAUCCCGGAUUACCAACCCGAUGCAAACUGCGAAUACCGAAGAGUAAUGUAUAGGAGACACACGGCGGGUGCUAACGUUCGUCGUGGAGAGGGAAACAACCCAGACCGCCAGCUAAGGUCCCAAAGUCUAUAUUAAGUGGGAAACGAAGUGGAAAGGCUUAGACAGCUAGGAUGUUGGCUUAGAAGCAGCCAUCAUUUAAAGAAAGCGUAAUAGCUCACUAGUCGAGUCGGUCUGCGCGGAAGAUGUAACGGGGCUAAAAUAUAGCACCGAAGCUGCGGCAUCAGGCGUAUCACACAUACGCCUUACGAUUAACACCUUGCAAAGCAAGGUGGUCAAGCGACUUACACGUUGAGGUGUGAGCGGGAGGGAUAAUCGAAGAGAGGAAUAUGUGUGAUACGUCUGUUGGGUAGGGGAGCGUUGUGUAAGCUGAAGAAGGUAGUUCGAGAGGGCUGCUGGAGGUAUCACAAGUGCGAAUGCUGACAUAAGUAACGAUAAAGCGGGUGAAAGGCCCGCUCGCCGGAAGACCAAGGUUUCCUGUCCAACGUUAAUCGGGGCAGGGUGAGUCGGCCCCUAAGGCGAGGCUGAGAAGCGUAGUCGAUGGGAAAUGGGUUAAUAUUCCCAUACUUGGAUAAACUGCGAUGUGGGGACGGAGCAGGUUAGGUUAGCGUACGGAUGGAAGAGUACGUUUAAGUUGGUAGGUGAGGUGUUUAGGCAAAUCCGGGCACCUGAUAACACUGAGAGAUGAUGACGAGGCUACGGUGCUGAAGUAACUGAUACCCAACUUCCAGGAAAAGCCACUAAGCGAGAGGUUUAUCUAAACCGUACUGGAAACCGACACAGGUGGUCAGGUAGAGAAUACUAAGGCGCUUGAGAGAACUCGGGUGAAGGAACUAGGCAAAAUAGCACCGUAACUUCGGGAGAAGGUGCGCUGGCGUAGUGUGAAGUUCUUCGCGAAUGGAGCACGAACCAGUCGAAGCGACGAGCUGGCUGCAACUGUUUAAUAAAAACACAGCACUCUGCAAACACGAAAGUGGACGUAUAGGGUGUGAUGCCUGCCCGGUGCUGGAAGGUUAAUUGAUGGUGUUAUCGAAAGAGAAGCACCUGAUCGAAGCCCCAGUAAACGGCGGCCGUAACUAUAACGGUCCUAAGGUAGCGAAAUUCCUUGUCGGGUAAGUUCCGACCUGCACGAAUGGCAUAAUGAUGGCCAGGCUGUCUCCACCCGAGACUCAGUGAAAUUGAAAUCGCCGUGAAGAUGCGGUGUACCCGCGGCUAGACGGAAAGACCCCGUGAACCUUUACUAUAGCUUGACACUGAACCUUGAAUUUUAAUGUGUAGGAUAGGUGGGAGACUAAGAAGCGGUAACGCCAGUUAUCGUGGAGUCGAUGUUGAAAUACCACCCUUUAACGUUUGAUGUUCUAACGAGGCACCUGGGACAGGUGUUCGGACAGUGUCUGGUGGGUAGUUUGACUGGGGCGGUCUCCUCCCAAAGCGUAACGGAGGAGCACGAAGGUUGGCUAAUGACGGUCGGACAUCGUCAGGUUAGUGCAAUGGUAGAAGCCAGCUUAACUGCGAGACGGACAAGUCGAGCAGGUACGAAAGUAGGUCAUAGUGAUCCGGUGGUUCUGAAUGGAAGGGCCAUCGCUCAACGGAUAAAAGGUACUCCGGGGAUAACAGGCUGAUACCGCCCAAGAGUUCAUAUCGACGGCGGUGUUUGGCACCUCGAUGUCGGCUCAUCACAUCCUGGGGCUGAAGUAGGUCCCAAGGGUAUGGCUGUUCGCCAUUUAAAGUGGUACGCGAGCUGGGUUUAGAACGUCGUGAGACAGUUCGGUCCCUAUCUGCCGUGGGCGUUGGAGGAUUGAGGGGGGUUGCUCCUAGUACGAGAGGACCGGAGUGAACGCACCGCUGGUGUUCCAGUUGUUUCGCCAGAAGCAUUGCUGGGUAGCUAAGUGCGGAAGAGAUAAGUGCUGAAAGCAUCUAAGCACGAAACUUGCCCCGAGAUGAGUUCUCCCAGUCUAAGAGACUGUAAGGGUUGUUGAAGACGACGACGUAGAUAGGCGGGGUGUGUAAGCGGUGUGAGCCGUUGAGCUAACCCAUACUAAUUGCCCGAGAGGCUUAACUAU